GAUGUGACGUCACAACGGGUACCGAGCCAUUGUGGAAGAAGGAAAAUAGUGUAGAUCAGUAGUUGAAUUUCGCCUUAUUUAUAUUAUUUACUUGUAGUUUUAAUGUAUUUAUAUGUUAUAGUUAUUAAGGUUUGCCAGCGUGAACAGUUUUAAGUCGCAGUAUUCGUGAUCAGCAUUGUAAAUACCGUAACACCGAUACUUGUCUCGAACAUGGUCGAAGAGUCCAUUGUAAAGCCGGUUAUGUUGACAGCCUGACAUAAGCAGCCAUCACUCGUGUAGAACGUUCCACAUGUCUCAUUAUGAUGUUAUAGGGGAUGCUCCUCCACUUCAACUAUUGGGCUAGAGAAGGGUGAAGCUGCACAUGUUCAGAAAAUACUCGCAAGAUACAGGCAGAAUUAGCAGAGAGUAUAUCCAUAAUUUUUUGUAUACACUGGUGGGUACAUCAACCCUAAAAGGAGGAAGACGCGUCGCUGAUCAAGUGGAAUAAAUAAACAUCAACUCCCCUACAUA